GGGUUGUGAGGUUAAGCGACUAAGCGUACACGGUGGAUGCCCCGCAGUCAGAGGCGAUGAAGGACGUGCUAAUCUGCGAAAAGCGUCGGUAAGGUGAUAUGAACCGUUAUAACCGGCGAUGUCCGAAUGGGGAAACCCAGUGCAAUUCGUUGCACUAUCGUUAACUGAAUACAUAGGUUAACGAGGCGAACCGGGGGAACUGAAACAUCUAAGUACCCCGAGGAAAAGAAAUCAACCGAGAUUCCCCCAGUAGCGGCGAGCGAACGGGGAGCAGCCCAGAGUCUGAAUCAGCUUGUGUGUUAGUGGAACGGUCUGGAAAGUCCGACGGUACAGGGUGAUAGUCCCGUACACCAAAAUGCACAGGCUGUGAACUCGAAGAGUAGGGCGGGACACGUGGUAUCCUGUCUGAAUAUGGGGACCAUCCUCCAAGGCUAAAUACUCCUGACUGACCGAUAGUGAACCAGUACCGUGAGGGAAAGGCGAAAAGAACCCCGGCGAGGGGAGUGAAAAGAACCUGAAACCGUGUACGUACAAGCAGUGGGAGCACCUUCGGGUGUGACUGCGUACCUUUGUAUAAUGGGUCAGCGACUUAUAUUCUGUAGCAAGGUUAACCGUAUAGGGGAGCCGCAGGGAAACCGAGUCUUAACUGGGCGUUAAGUUGCAGGGUAUAGACCCGAAACCCGGUGAUCUAGCCAUGGGCAGGUUGAAGGUUGGGUAACACUAACUGGAGGACCGAACCGACUAAUGUUGAAAAAUUAGCGGAUGACUUGUGGCUGGGGUGAAAGGCCAAUCAAACCGGGAGAUAGCUGGUUCUCCCCGAAAGCUAUUUAGGUAGCGCCUCGUGAACUCAUCUUCGGGGUAGAGCACUGUUUCGGCUAGGGGGUCAUCCCGACUUACCAACCCGAUGCAAACUACGAAUACCGAAGAAUGUUAUCACGGGAGACACACGGCGGGUGCUAACGUCCGUCGUGAAGAGGGAAACAACCCAGACCGCCAGCUAAGGUCCCAAAGUCAUGGUUAAGUGGGAAACGAUGUGGGAAGGCACAGACAGCCAGGAUGUUGGCUUAGAAGCAGCCAUCAUUUAAAGAAAGCGUAAUAGCUCACUGGUCGAGUCGGCCUGCGCGGAAGAUGUAACGGGGCUAAACCAUGCACCGAAGCUGCGGCAGCGACACUAUGUGUUGUUGGGUAGGGGAGCGUUCUGUAAGCCUGCGAAGGUGUGCUGUGAGGCAUGCUGGAGGUAUCAGAAGUGCGAAUGCUGACAUAAGUAACGAUAAAGCGGGUGAAAAGCCCGCUCGCCGGAAGACCAAGGGUUCCUGUCCAACGUUAAUCGGGGCAGGGUGAGUCGACCCUAAGGCGAGGCCGAAAGGCGUAGUCGAUGGGAAACAGGUUAAUAUUCCUGUACUUGGUGUUACUGCGAAGGGGGGACGGAGAAGGCUAUGUUAGCCGGGCGACGGUUGUCCCGGUUUAAGCAUGUAGGCUGAUUGUCCAGGCAAAUCCGGAUAAUCAAGGCUGAGGUGUGAUGACGAGGCACUACGGUGCUGAAGUAACAAAUGCCCUGCUUCCGUGAAAAGCCUCUAAGCAUCAGGUAACAUCAAAUCGUACCCCAAACCGACACAGGUGGUCAGGUAGAGAAUACCAAGGCGCUUGAGAGAACUCGGGUGAAGGAACUAGGCAAAAUGGUGCCGUAACUUCGGGAGAAGGCACGCUGGUGUGUAGGUGAAGUCCCUGCGGAUGGAGCUGAGACCAGUCGAAGAUACCAGCUGGCUGCAACUGUUUAUUAAAAACACAGCACUGUGCAAACACGAAAGUGGACGUAUACGGUGUGACGCCUGCCCGGUGCCGGAAGGUUAAUUGAUGGGGUUAUCCGUAAGGAGAAGCUCUUGAUCGAAGCCCCGGUAAACGGCGGCCGUAACUAUAACGGUCCUAAGGUAGCGAAAUUCCUUGUCGGGUAAGUUCCGACCUGCACGAAUGGCGUAAUGAUGGCGGGCUGUCUCCACCCGAGACUCAGUGAAAUUGAACUCGCUGUGAAGAUGCAGUGUACCCGCGGCAAGACGGAAAGACCCCGUGAACCUUUACUAUAGCUUGACACUGAACAUUGAGCCUUGAUGUGUAGGAUAGGUGGGAGGCUUUGAAGCGUGGACGCCAGUCUGCGUGGAGCCAACCUUGAAAUACCACCCUUUAAUGUUUGAUGUUCUAACGUUGGCCCCUGACCGGGGUUGCGGACAGUGUCUGGUGGGUAGUUUGACUGGGGCGGUCUCCUCCCAAAGCGUAACGGAGGAGCACGAAGGUUAGCUAAUCCUGGUCGGACAUCAGGAGGUUAGUGCAAUGGCAUAAGCUAGCUUGACUGCGAGCGUGACGGCGCGAGCAGGUGCGAAAGCAGGUCAUAGUGAUCCGGUGGUUCUGAAUGGAAGGGCCAUCGCUCAACGGAUAAAAGGUACUCCGGGGAUAACAGGCUGAUACCGCCCAAGAGUUCAUAUCGACGGCGGUGUUUGGCACCUCGAUGUCGGCUCAUCACAUCCUGGGGCUGAAGUAGGUCCCAAGGGUAUGGCUGUUCGCCAUUUAAAGUGGUACGCGAGCUGGGUUUAGAACGUCGUGAGACAGUUCGGUCCCUAUCUGCCGUGGGCGCUGGAGAAUUGAGGGGCUGCUCCUAGUACGAGAGGACCGGAGUGGACGCAUCACUGGUGUUCGGGUUGUCAUGCCAAUGGCACUGCCCGGUAGCUAAAUGCGGAAGAGAUAAGUGCUGAAAGCAUCUAAGCACGAAACUUGCCCCGAGAUGAGUUCUCCCUGAGACUUUAAGUCUCCUGAAGGAACGUUAAAGACGAUGACGUUGAUAGGCCGGGUGUGUAAGCGCAGCGAUGCGUUGAGCUAACCGGUACUAAUGAACCGUGAGGCUUAACCUUACAACGCCGAAG
rnacentral:rRNA from 1 species